GCUGCACUGUGAACACCUCAAAUGAAGUUUCACAGCAGGAUAAGCCAGGGCAUAUGAUUCAGAUCCUCAUGCCACAGGGCUCUGUAGCCACCAAACUGAUUACCUACUGGGGAAAAAAAAAAGCCCACUGAUGUAUAAUGAUAAUCCUGCAACAGACGAAAGAAACUUCAGGGUCAUCUUUCUGAGAUCGUUGCUCAGGGGUCAGGCCCCAGGUGUUAAGAAGAGCAGGCAUUACAAGGUUUAUUGAGAAGAAUAUGACAGGGAUGCAUUACCAGGUGCAGCAUGAUGAGAUGGAAGACAGGACUGCACCUGGCUCUGAGGUCAGCCUCAGCAUGAAGGAGGCAAUAUGUUUGACUCUGUGGUUGGGGUGGAGAACUUUGGGUCACUUCUCUCUGGAGUGAAGAGACGACAGCUAAUCAGCUUCCAGUCUAAGGCAGCAGCCUUCCUUUCCCAGGUCUGAAGUGAGAUCCAGGACUACACAUUUUCAGCGAACUCCCUGUGUGAUACUAUGGAGGAUGCAGCAACAAGGCACCAUCUUAGGAGCAGAGAGCAGACCCUCACCAGACACCGAACCUGCCAACACCUUGAUCUUGGACUUCACAGACUCCAGAACUGAGGAGGCAUUUUGUUCUGGGGCACUUCAUCUGAAAAGAUGUUAAAAAACUAGAGAUAGCCAGGUAUUUACACAGGAAAAACAAAUCCUUAAUAUACAGUAUAUAUAAUAAAAUACUCACAGAACAUUACUUCCCUGCAAGAGCUACUAUUGCAGCCUGGAUUCCUGUGAAUGUGCUUCACCAGUUCUCUUUACACUCAGCAAGACCCUGAUCACAUGCUGAUCACA